GGAGUCUGGGCCGUGUCUCAGUCCCAAUGUGGCCGUUCAACCUCUCAGUCCGGCUACUGAUCGUCGACUUGGUGAGCCGUUACCUCACCAACUAUCUAAUCAGGCGCGAGUCCAUCUCUAAGCAAAUCAAUCUUUGAUAUAUCUAUCAUGCGAUAAAUAUAUGUUAUAAGGUAUUACCAUCCGUUUCCAGAAGCUAUCCCUCACUUAGAGGCAGGUUACUCACGUGUUACUCACCCGUCCGCCGCUAUGAACCUUGAAUAAAUCCAAUGUCCACCGCUCGACUUGCAUGUGUUAGGCGUGCCGCCAGCGUUCGUC
rnacentral:rRNA from 1 species